rnacentral:rRNA from 1 species
AAUAUUGCACAAUGGGCGCAAGCCUGAUGCAGCCAUGCCGCGUGUGUGAAGAAGGCCUUCGGGUUGUAAAGCACUUUCAGUCAGGAGGAAAGGUUAACGGUUAAUACCCGUUAGCUGUGACGUUACUGACAGAAGAAGCACCGGCUAACUCCGUGCCAGCAGCCGCGGUAAUACGGAGGGUGCGAGCGUUAAUCGGAAUUACUGGGCGUAAAGCGUACGCAGGCGGUUUGUUAAGCGAGAUGUGAAAGCCCCGGGCUCAACCUGGGAACUGCAUUUCGAACUGGCAAACUAGAGUGUGAUAGAGGGUGGUAGAAUUUCAGGUGUAGCGGUGAAAUGCGUAGAGAUCUGAAGGAAUACCGAUGGCGAAGGCAGCCACCUGGGUCAACACUGACGCUCAUGUACGAAAGCGUGGGGAGCAAACGGGAUUAGAUACCCCGGUAGUCCACGCCGUAAACGAUGUCUACUAGAAGCUCGGAGCCUCGGUUCUGUUUUUCAAAGCUAACGCAUUAAGUAGACCGCCUGGGGAGUACGGCCGCAAGGUUAAAACUCAAAUGAAUUGACGGGGGCCCGCACAAGCGGUGGAGCAUGUGGUUUAAUUCGAUGCAACGCGAAGAACACUUACCUACACUUGACAUACAGAGAACUUACCAGAGAUGGUUUGGUGCCUUCGGGAACUCUGAUACAGGUGCUGCAUGGCUGUCGUCAGCUCGUGUUGUGAGAUGUUGGGUUAAGUCCCGCAACGAGCGCAACCCCUAUCCUUAGUUGCUAGC